GAGUUUGAUCAUGGCUCAGAUUGAACGCUGGCGGCAGGCCUAACACAUGCAAGUCGAACGGUAACAGGAAGAAGCUUGCUUCUUUGCUGACGAGUGGCGGGAGGGUGAGUAAUGUCUGGGAAACUGCCUGAUGGAGGGGGAUAACUACUGGAAACGGUAGCUAAUACCGCAUAACGUCGCAAGACCAAAGAGGGGGACCUUCGGGCCUCUUGCCAUCGGAUGUGCCCAGAUGGGAUUAGCUAGUAGGUGGGGUAACGGCUCACCUAGGCGACGAUCCCUAGCUGGUCUGAGAGGAUGACCAGCCACACUGGAACUGAGACACGGUCCAGACUCCUACGGGAGGCAGCAGUGGGGAAUAUUGCACAAUGGGCGCAAGCCUGAUGCAGCCAUGCCGCGUGUAUGAAGAAGGCCAUCGGGUUGUAAAGUACUUUCAGCGGGGAGGAAGGGAGUAGAGUUAAUACCUUUGCUCAUUGACGUUACCCGCAGAAGAAGCACCGGCUAACUCCGUGCCAGCAGCCGCGGUAAUACAGAGGGUGCAAGCGUUAAUCGGAAUUACUGGGCGUAAAGCGCACGCAGGCGGUUUGUUAAGUCAGAUGUGAAAUCCCCGGGCUCAACCUGGGAACUGCAUCUGAUACUGGCAAGCUUGAGUCUCGUAGAGGGGGGUAGAAUUCCAGGUGUAGCGGUGAAAUGCGUAGAGAUCUGGAGGAAUACCGGUGGCGAAGGCGGCCCCCUGGACGAAGACUGACGCUCAGGUGCGAAAGCGUGGGGAGCAAACAGGAUUAGAUACCCUGGUAGUCCACGCCGUAAACGAUGUCGACUUGGAGGUUGUGCCCUUGAGGCGUGGCUUCCGGAGCUAACGCGUUAAGUCGACCGCCUGGGGAGUACGGCCGCAAGGUUAAAACUCAAAUGAAUUGACGGGGGCCCGCACAAGCGGUGGAGCAUGUGGUUUAAUUCGAUGCAACGCGAAGAACCUUACCUGGUCUUGACAUCCACGGAAGUUUUCAGAGAUGAGAAUGUGCCUUCGGGAACCGUGAGACAGGUGCUGCAUGGCUGUCGUCAGCUCGUGUUGUGAAAUGUUGGGUUAAGUCCCGCAACGAGCGCAACCCUUAUCCUUUGUUGCCAGCGGUCCGGCCGGGAACUCAAAGGAGACUGCCAGUGAUAAACUGGAGGAAGGUGGGGAUGACGUCAAGUCAUCAUGGCCCUUACGACCAGGGCUACACACGUGCUACAAUGGCGCAUACAAAGAGAAGCGACCUCGCGAGAGCAAGCGGACCUCAUAAAGUGCGUCGUAGUCCGGAUUGGAGUCUGCAACUCGACUCCAUGAAGUCGGAAUCGCUAGUAAUCGUGGAUCAGAAUGCCACGGUGAAUACGUUCCCGGGCCUUGUACACACCGCCCGUCACACCAUGGGAGUGGGUUGCAAAAGAAGUAGGUAGCUUAACCUUCGGGAGGGCGCUUACCACUUUGUGAUUCAUGACUGGGGUGAAGUCGGAACAAGGUA
rnacentral:rRNA from 1 species